CCUACGGGAGGCUGCAGUCGAGAAUCAUUCACAAUGGGGGAAACCCUGAUGGUGCGACGCCGCGUGGGGGAAUGAAGGUCUUCGGAUUGUAAACCCCUGUCAUGUGGGAGCAAAUUAAAAAGAUAGUACCACAAGAGGAAGAGACGGCUAACCCUGGGCCAGCAGCCGUGGUAAUACAGGGGUCUCAAGCGUUGUUCGGAAUCACUGGGCGUAAAGUGUGCGUAGGCUGUUUCGUAAGUCGUGUGUGAAAGGCGCGGGCACAACCCGCGGUCGGCACAUGAUACUGCGAGACUAGAGUAAUGGAGGGGGAACCGGAAUUCUCGGUGUAGCAGUGAAAUGCGGAGAUAUCGAGAGGAACACUCGUGGCGAAGGCGGGUUCCUGGACAUGAACUGACGCUGAGGCACGAAGGCCAGGGGAGCGAAAGGGAUUAGAUACCCGUGUAGUC
rnacentral:rRNA from 1 species